UGUCGUAAAAGCCACCGCGGCCCCCGCCCGGCAUGGCGGGCCGCUUCUUUGCCGCUAGCCGGGAGCGCGACUGGGCCGGGCGCCCCGGGCCCGCCUGCCCUCAGCCGCUACGCUGGGGUGGCCCGUGCCCGCCGGGCGCCGCUCGAAGAGCGCCGGCUUUAUCCCCCGCUCCGUGAGGACCAGUCCAGGGGCGCCGGCGCGGCCCGGCCGAGGCGCCCGCCUCAGGCGCUGGCAGAGUUUGGCCACCUUCCAUGCAAUGGAGCAAUGUAGCCGAGUUUGUGGGUUGACUUAGGCUUGCAUCACCACCCUGAACCAGAUUGUAUCUGCAGUCAUCUGGAACUGACUACAUGCCUGAACUGAUGAGAGAUGCUGCGGAAACAUGGCUCUCUGGGGCCUUGACAAGAUGCUUUUGCCGUAUCCUGUCUUUUUAUUGCCUGGUCCUCUGGAAGGCGAGAGUGAGAAUCAGCGGUGUUACCCUGCAAACAGUUUGAGAACUGCUUUGGCAGCCAGUAGAAGAAAAGAGCGUGGUGUGGUCGCAGCAAGCACGUGCUCUUUCUAGCAAUUUAUAAUUGCACUAUGAUCCCAAGGAGGAGUGAUGUUCGAACCUCCCUCUGAUUACCUGUGUUCUUUUCUCUUACUGUAACAACAUUGUUUCUUUGUAACACACAAACGUUCAUGCAAAAAUGCCAGGCAGAUUAAAGUAGUUUUACAAAUUAAGGAAAAGCUGGUAUGAAACAAAAAGAAAAUGAAACUAUCCCAGCACUUCUGCACUUCCUUAUAAUCAAAGUCCUGUCUUUGGCAGGUGUUAGGUAGGAUACACACUCGGUGAGGCCUAUGAGAAUUUUCCUUGUGUAAAGACUGCAGGAGUUAGCCCUAGCAAAUCACACUGUUCUAAAAAUAGUGGCCAGUAAGCAACAGGGGGGCUGUCUUGGGGAAUAAAAACAGGAAGAGAACUUGGUGAGAGCUUGAUCCUCUGCAGUGUCACCUUUCACAAUUGAGUGACUGACGAACAAAAGAAAAAAAAAAGUGAGCUAAAUCUCGGUGAGGAUGGAUGCCUCCUGUUGCGGAAUAGAACAAACUCCAGUGACAUGCUCCCUCCCAUUAGAUCUGAUACUACUGUUUUAUGAUAAAGAUUAAUUUCUAAAAAUCAACCAUAAACCUAUAGGUCGGCCAAUAAGACAGUGACUUGACAAAUUUUUCAUUGCAAAGUGUAUGAUAGUUUCACGCCUUUAAUUUGCAUCAUUGCAGACAGUCUUUUGUUGAAUCCAAUGAAGUUUGAAUCCCACUAUGAAUUUAAUUGUUUUCCACAACUAGAUUAUGAACAGAAACCUUUGAUUUCUAUUAAUUAUGUAUCUUCAAAAAGCUAUUUUGUGUGUGUAUAUAUAUAUUUAAUAACAGGAAAUGUAACAUUUAUUUUUAUUAAACUAAUAAAACA